rnacentral:rRNA from 1 species
AUUGAACGCUAGCGGCAUGCCUUACACAUGCAAGUCGAACGGCAGCACGGGCAACCUGGUGGCGAGUGGCGAACGGGUGAGUAAAGUAUCGGAACGUGCCCAGUAGCGGGGGAUAACUACGCGAAAGCGUAGCUAAUACCGCAUACGCCCUACGGGGGAAAGGGGGGAUCGCAAGACCUCUCACUAUUGGAGCGGCCGAUAUCGGAUUAGCUAGUUGGUGAGGUAAAGGCUCACCAAGGCUUCGAUCCAUAGCUGGUUUGAGAGGACGACCAGCCACACUGGGACUGAGACACGGCCCAG